CCUACGGGCGGCAGCAGUGGGGAAUAUUGGACAACGGGCGAAAGCCUGAUCCAGCCAUGCCGCGUGUGUGAAGAAGGCCUUCGGGUUGUAAAGCACUUUCAGUGGGGAAGAAAGCCUUGGGGCUAAUACCCUCGAGGAAGGACAUCACCCACAGAAGAAGCACCGGCUAACUCCGUGCCAGCAGCCGCGGUAAUACGGAGGGUGCGAGCGUUAAUCGGAAUUACUGGGCGUAAAGCGCGCGUAGGCGGUCUGAUAAGCCGGUUGUGAAAGCCCCGGGCUCAACCUGGGAACGGCAUCCGGAACUGUCAGGCUAGAGUGCAGGAGAGGAAGGUAGAAUUCCCGGUGUAGCGGUGAAAUGCGUAGAGAUCGGGAGGAAUACCAGUGGCGAAGGCGGCCUUCUGGACUGACACUGACGCUGAGGUGCGAAAGCGUGGGUAGCAAACAGGAUUAGAUACCCGAGUAGUC
rnacentral:rRNA from 1 species